rnacentral:rRNA from 1 species
AGAGUUUGAUCCUGGCUCAGGACGAACGCUGGCGGCGUGCCUAAUACAUGCAAGUCGAACGAAGCUUUCUUUCACCGAAUGCUUGCAUUCACCGAAAGAAGCUUAGUGGCGAACGGGUGAGUAACACGUAGGCAACCUGCCCAAAAGAGGGGGAUAACACUUGGAAACAGGUGCUAAUACCGCAUAACCAUGAACACCGCAUGAUGUUCAUGUAAAAGACGGCUUUUGCUGUCACUUUUGGAUGGGCCUGCGGCGUAUUAACUUGUUGGUGGGGUAACGGCCUACCAAGGUGAUGAUACGUAGCCGAACUGAGAGGUUGAUCGGCCACAUUGGGACUGAGACACGGCCCAAACUCCUACGGGAGGCAGCAGUAGGGAAUCUUCCACAAUGGACGAAAGUCUGAUGGAGCAACGCCGCGUGAAUGAAGAAGGCCUUCGGGUCGUAAAAUUCUGUUGUCAGAGAAGAACGUGCGUGAGAGUAACUGUUCACGUAUUGACGGUAUCUGACCAGAAAGCCACGGCUAACUACGUGCCAGCAGCCGCGGUAAUACGUAGGUGGCAAGCGUUGUCCGGAUUUAUUGGGCGUAAAGGGAACGCAGGCGGUCUUUUAAGUCUGAUGUGAAAGCCUUCGGCUUAACCGAAGUAGUGCAUUGGAAACUGGAAGACUUGAGUGCAGAAGAGGAGAGUGGAACUCCAUGUGUAGCGGUGAAAUGCGUAGAUAUAUGGAAGAACACCAGUGGCGAAAGCGGCUCUCUGGUUUGUAACUGACGCUGAGGUUCGAAAGCGUGGGUAGCAAACAGGAUUAGAUACCCUGGUAGUCCACGCCGUAAACGAUGAGUGCUAAGUGUUGGAGGGUUUCCGCCCUUCAGUGCUGCAGCUAACGCAUUAAGCACUCCGCCUGGGGAGUACGGUCGCAAGACUGAA